rnacentral:lncRNA from 1 species
GGGCUGUUUCAAAGAUCAAGAAAAAGAAUUUUGUUUCCAUUUCUCGUAACAUAUACAAUUUGGAAAGCAGAAGAAUGAUAUCUGAAUAUGGCCAUCACUAAUGAAAAUAUUAUCUUCAGGACUGAGAUUGAAAUGUAGCUAAGGAAAAAAAUCCUACAGAUGCUCCAAAUCUGUGAGGCUUCUGAAUUAGCUGAAUCCCCAGCGAAUCUUCAUUAUUGACUAGAGGAAAUUACACGGUAUUCUCCUUCUUUGCAAGGCUUGAAAAUUUAUUGAAUUGCUACUGAAAGCUUGCAGAAGCCCCCCAGCACACAGCUGCAUAUUCUUCGUCGUGGGUCCUUCUAGUUGUGGCAUGUGGGACGCUGCCUCAGCGUGGUUUGAUGAGCAGUGCCAUGUCUGCGCCCAGGACUCGAACCAACAAAACACUGGGCCGCCUGCAGCAGAGCACAUGAACUUAACCACUUGGCCACGGGGCCAGCCCCUUAUUCCAUUUUGUCUAACUGCUUUAUUGACUUUACCACAUCGUUUUUUGUGUGUCUUUUAUAGCAGAGGAAACUACAGACAAACAGAAUUAAAGCAGACUAAAUCUUAAGGAAAAUAAAUGGAAGAAGACCACAGGGAUGUGAAAAAAAUAUAAUCAAUUAAGAUGUGCAUGGAAUCAUGGGCGUCAUGGAAGACUGUCUUAAGGAACCAGCAUUAGAACUGAAACCUAAGUUUUUGAGGAACAAUGAUAAGAUACUUAAUAUUCCCAGAGAGAGGGAGAGAAAGGAGGAAGAGAAGAAAGAAAACAAGUUGCAGACAAAGCCUUGCAAACCAGAAUGAUGACAACAACCUUAGAAGCUAGAAGGUAGAGAAGAACUACCUGCCAUGUUCUGAGGGUGAACUAUUGCCCAUCUAGAGUAUUAUACCACAGCAAAUCAUUCACCAAGUGUUAGGAGAGAAGAAAAUACUUUUUCAGACAUACACAGUCUCAAAAAUUUUAGCUCCCAAUCACUAUUUCUCAGGAAAUGUCAGCCUUAUUCGUGUAUAGAAAGAUUGAGUAUUGUUAAAAAUAUAAUUUAUCCCCUAUAAAAUAUAGUAUAUAUUUACUCCUAAUUUCCUAUCAGAUGUUUCAUGGGACUUCACAAGCUUAUAUUUAGAUAAAUGCGAAGAUGUAAAUGGAUAAAAAUAGACAAGAAGAUUGCAAGGUAAAAUGUUAAGAAGAUGUAUUAGAACAAAUUUAAAGAUUUCUCAUAAUGGCAUGGAAUUUAAACAUUGUAGCAUUGAUAGAGAAUUAUACAAGUAAACCAAUAGAAUAAUUCAGAGAUCCUGGGAACAGAGCCCUAUACAUACGCAAACUUAGCAUACGAUCAAUCUUUUAUUAGAUAUAAGUAGGAAAAAAUGGUCCAUAUGGCACAGAGGACAUCAAAAUUCCUCGGUUGCAUAUCCUCUUAAAUAUAUUUCUAAAAUAUAAUCUCACUUAGACAUUUAUUUUUACCCUAAUUUGUAAAACUUGCAACUUCUGUAUAUUUAAAUAUUGACAUUUUAAUGAAAACCAUUAUAAGAUUAUUAUAUAUUGCAACAGUUUGUAAAAUAUAUCUAAUAGAUGUAAAUACCAUUACAAAUGAUAUCUACCAGCAUCCACUUAAAAAAUUCAUAAACAUGCUUUUGAACAUUUUAAAAUUUUUUAUUUUCCCUUUUUUCUCUUUGAAUUCAUAUCUGCGUUCCACUUUCCAUGAAGAAUUUUUCCCAAUUUACUACAUUUUAUGCUUGAAAAUUAUUUAUUGAUUGCUCUAUUUUUCUUUUAUAGAAUAUGUAUAAAAUUGACAUUUUAACAUGUUUUAUUUCCUAUGACAUUAAAGAUCUAAGUGUUCAAAUAUUCA